rnacentral:misc_RNA from 1 species
UUUCCGUAGGUGAACCUGCGGAAGGAUCAUUCAUAAUAAAGUGUUUUAUGGCACUUUUUAAAAAUCCAUAUCCACCUUGUGUGCAAUGUUAGAUCUCGUCAAUCUUGGCGAGAUUUUUAUACAUCAACUCAUUCUUUGACUAAUUUAUCUGAAAAAUAUUAUGAAUACUUAAUUCAAAAUACAACUUUCAACAACGGAUCUCUUGGCUCUC